rnacentral:lncRNA from 1 species
CAUUCUUCCCACCAUAGAAACCCCUGCCUGGAGGCAGUGAUAUCAACAGAGUUCUCAGCCAAUCCUGCUGCGUGUCCUGGCCAGCCUCUUUUCCAGCCAAUCAGGGGAGUGAGCAAGAGGUUUGGCUAGCUGUCAGAACAGUAUAAGAUGUAUUGCCCUUUUCUGUAUGUUUAUGCUUGUACCUUUUGAAGCAAAUUGCUCAUACUUGCAUCAUUUUUGGCCAAAUUGUAAUAAACCUCUGUGUCUUGUCUUUAACCUGGUGAGUUUGUUUCUCUGUCUUGGCCUAUCUGGUUUAGCUUAUGCUCACUGGGCACUCACUCUUUAACUACAGUUCUGGCUGAAAUCACUACAAUGUUACUUAGAAUUUCUAAGAACUGUGGUCCAAAACAGUAGCUUUUUCAAGAUGAUAUGAAUAUCAGCUGAACUGUAAAAUUCAACAUCUACUGAGUGUACACUGAAGGUUAACAAUGAGAAUAACUAGAACUCCAAGGAUGGGCAAAGAGUAAAGCAGAAUCUACUGGUGUAUCUUCAGGUGAUUUUCAGCAGACCAAAGCUGUUUAACUCACAAUGGUUUACAAGUACUAAUACAAACAUUCUUCACCCACCCACCCCCCAGUAUUAGGCUUUUGAAAUCAAGAAAGCUUGAACCAUUUUUGUGUGAAAUCUUUUUAUUAUUAUUAUUAUUAUUUUGCCAUUUUAUUCUGUUGAUUGUCAUUAUUUUACUUGUGUGAGACCACAGAAUUCUAAUGAUAGACAAAGAUCAGAAGAAUCUGAAGACUCCUCAGUCCUCACCUCUGCAUUAGGCAUUCUGAACCUGACAAAACUGGUGGUAAUUACAUCAAAACUAUUUUUUUUCUUCCACAUCUCAUUAAUCUAUAUAUAUAAAAGGAUAAAGUUGCGGGCGCAGUGACUAUAACAACAAAACUAAACAUCCCAGAAAUACGAAAUUUGGCAACACAAUGCAAAAGGCUUGCCUCCAGGUUACAACAACACAACCACACCACAAAACCACAAUCCAGACCCACAACACUCACAACAACGCAUCAUGCGAUAACAACACAACUAAACGCCCCAGAAAUACAAAACUUGGCAACACAAUGCAAAAGCCUUGCCUCCCAGUUGUAACAACACAACCACACCACAAAACCACACAGGACCCACAAAACUCACAACAAUGCAUUGUGACUAUAACAAAUACAAAAUUUGACAACACAACGCAAAAGCCUUGCCUCCCAGUUGUAAGAACACAACCACAACACAAAACCACAAUCCGGACCCACAAAACUCACAACAACGCAUCAUGACUAUAACAACACAACUAAACGCCCCAGAAAUACAAAACUUGGCAAAACAAUGCAAAAGCCUUGCCUCCCGGUUGUAACAACACAACCACACCACAAAACCACACCGGACCCACAAAACUCACAACAAUGCAUCGUGACUAUAACAACACAACUAAACGCCCCAGAAAUACAAAACUUGGCACACAACUAAACGACCCAGAAAUACAAAACUUCGCAACACAACACAAAAGCCUUGCCUCUCAGUUGUAACAACACAACCACACCACAAAACCACAAUCCAGACCCACAAAACUCACAACAACGCAUUGUGACUAUAACAAAUACAACAUUUGACAACACGACUCAUCCACCUCCCCAAUCCCUACAUUCACACUUGGCCUCCAAAAAAACAAUUACAAUAAUAACAAUGACAACAACAACAACAAUAAGAAUCAACACCAUCACAGACAAGAAACAGCCAGGCACUGAGGCUGAGAGGCCAGUCAGUGCUAAACUGGCCCUCCAAAAAACAAUACAGUAGCAUCUAACUUAUCCAACCUUCAUAAUCACUACAACAACAAUAAUAAUAAACACCUACACAGGCAAAACAAAAUAAAAGACUAUUGUACCACAAUAAAAAUAUAAACCGCACUCAGCAGAAUCAGACAUUACAAUUAACAACAAACCAAAGACAACAGGGAUCUCAAGCAAUUAUCAAUCAACACAAAAAUUGAAGAAGGUAACAGACUUCAAAUACUACUACUAAUGUGAGUAUAAAGAAGGGUGGAGGUCACAGCAUCAAUACAACCUAAUGUAGACUGACCAACACCACCAGACUAAGCCACAGCAACGCGUGGCCGGGCACAGCUAGUUUUAUAUAAAAUGCAACACUGUAAAAAAGCUUUUUUCAUACUGGAGGAAACCUUUCUCAACUGUAAAGAUCACCAAAGGCCAGGGAAAAUGCAGAUGGAGCAAAUUAAAGAAUCCCUUGCAGAUUAUAAGGGUGUGCUCUGCAUUAUCCGUCGGUGCUCUUUGCAAGGAACCAAAUCCUUCCUGAGGGCAAAGCAGGCCUUGGCUGUAAAAAGGCUCUUUCAGUUUGUUUUUGAACUUUGGCUACAGAAAACCUGGUUCGCUUUAAUGUGAAAUCUCAGCUUCAAGGAAGACUUUUCCUGUCAACGUCAUACAGCUAAGAACUGAGGGAUGUCUUGUUGCCACAGUUACUUUAAUCUUCUGCCGCUGGGUGCAUUAGUUGCCAGCACAGCUGCUUUAUCUGACUUUUACCACAAAAUAUUUUAUACUAUGUAUCCAUGUGAGGAAAAAGAAGAAUAAAAUAAAAGAAUUAAAAGGCCACCACCAAUAUCCUACAUCUCCUUUUUAGUUACACAUUCAUAACUAAAGUAACAUCAUCUGGCCCACUCCAACCCCCAAACUUACCUUAACAGCCAGCAGCCACAGCAAGGGAUGGAGAUAAGAAUUGGGGUUCAUGAGAAGGAUGUUAUGGCCCCCUCUUACCAAUGAAUAAGACUGCAAUAAAGUAUUGUGACAGGAGGCCUGUUUCUGAUUGUCACACCAGAGAUAGCCAGUGAGAGAGAGCUGGAAAUGUCAUCCUCCUGCACUUCAAUCAGCAGCAGCAUAGAUUUCUAUCACUGCUAGUUAUGAUAGUGGCAAUAGUAUAAUUGUGAAUACAUUGACUGAAUAUGGAGCAAGCUUAUACAUUUGUAAUAGCAAUAGAUGAGUCCAGUGUCCCUGGUGUCUUGUGGCUCCCCUUGUCAAUGGGGCACUGAAUCCAUUGCAGUAUUUUUAUCUACUAAAGAACCCUUUCUCUCAGAAAUAGAUUCAAUAUCUCGAUUAGCUCCCUUAUAAUUGAAACUAGAAGAGCAGAUUUACUUGCCCUCAUUGACACAGAGGCCACUACCUACUACUGAUAACUACAGGUUGAGCUUCCCUUAUCCAAAAUGAUUAGGACAUGAAAUUUUUAGAUUUCAGAUUUAUUUAUUUUUUGUAUACUGGAAUACUUUUAUUUGCAUAUAUGGGAUAUCUUGGAGAUGGGGCCCAAGUCUAAAGACAAAAUUCAUUUAUCUUUCAUAUAUACCUUAUAUACAUAGCUAAAGGUAAUUUUAUACAAUACUAGCUGUGCCCGGCCACGCGUUGCUGUGGCUAGUCAGACCACAGGGAUCUUUUGCUGUGUGUAUGUGUUUUCAAGUCAUCUGUUGACUUAUGGCAACCCCAUUAAUUUCAUAGGGUUUUCUUAGGCAAGAAAUAUCCAGAAGAAGUUCUGCCAGUUCCUGCCUCUGAAAUAUAGCUGUGUACCGCAAUGUCAUGUGUAAUCUUUCAAAUGCUUAUGAGACCAAGGUGUCUGCUGCUCUCCAAGGUCCUGUACCUCAAUUCUUAUAUUUGGCUCAGCCACUGAUGCACGGCACACCUAUUUGACCUAUGCAUUUCAGCUUGGAACAUCUUACAAGGUUGUCAUAAGGACUGCAAGAAGAUUGUGCACAUGUAAUGCUUUGCAAGUAUGAUAUAAAUGCUAACCAUUAUUCCAGCUCACAAAGCACACAAUAAAGCUAUCAGCUUCCUACUCUGACCUG